rnacentral:lncRNA from 1 species
AUGCAUAAAUGGGCUCACUAUUUUUAUUUUGUUUCAAGAGUGUUUCAUCAUACACUUCCAAAUAUUUCAUCAAAUAAUUCCAAUUUCCUAAAAUGUCUCAAAUUAAUAAGUGAUUUAAAAAUUUAAUUUUUAUUAUUGAGAAUUUCUGCGCAUAGCACUGAUUCCACCUCCAUUUUUCUUCAAUCACCAAAUAUGCAUUUCUGCUGCACUUGGCAUCCCUUCACUCAUGUACCCUUGCACCUCCUACACCCUUCCAUCCCUGCACCUCAUUUUGUAUCUUUGCACCUCAUUUCAUCUUUAUUAAAAAAAAUCCUACACCCCUCCACCUUUGAACUACAACUCUUUCAUAAUAUUAUUUUGAAACUUUUUACUUUUGCAACUCAUGUACG